UUUGGACAAAUGAUGACUUUAUAUGCAUAGUUCAAAUGAUGAUCAUAUGAUCGUGAUUACCUUGCGUUAUUAGUCUUUCGCUCCUAUCUGAUGUCCAAA
rnacentral:snoRNA from 1 species